AUUGAACGCUGGCGGCAUGCCUUACACAUGCAAGUCGAACGGCAGCACGGGUGCUUGCACCUGGUGGCGAGUGGCGAACGGGUGAGUAAUACAUCGGAACAUGUCCUGUAGUGGGGGAUAGCCCGGCGAAAGCCGGAUUAAUACCGCAUACGAUCUACGGAUGAAAGCGGGGGACCUUCGGGCCUCGCGCUAUAGGGUUGGCCGAUGGCUGAUUAGCUAGUUGGUGGGGUAAAGGCCAACCAAGGCGACGAUCAGUAGCUGGUCUGAGAGGACGACCAGCCACACUGGGACUGAGACACGGCCCAGACUCCUACGGGAGGCAGCAGUGGGGAAUUUUGGACAAUGGGCGAAAGCCUGAUCCAGCAAUGCCGCGUGUGUGAAGAAGGCCUUCGGGUUGUAAAGCACUUUUGUCCGGAAAGAAAUCCUUGGCCCUAAUACGGUCGGGGGAUGACGGUACCGGAAGAGUAAGCACCGGCUAACUACGUG
rnacentral:rRNA from 1 species